UACGUAGGGUGCGAGCGUUGUCCGGAAUUAUUGGGCGUAAAGAGUUCGUAGGCGGCGCAGAAAGUAGGGUGUGAAAGCCCUCGGCUCAACCGAGGAAUUGCGCUCUAAACUACUGUGCUCGAGGAACCUAGAGGUGAGCAGAACUGAUGGUGGAGCGGUGAAAUGCGUUGAUAUCAUCAGGAAUACCGGAGGCGAAGGCGGCUCACUGGGGGUUUUCUGACGCUGAGGAACGAAAGCCAGGGGAGCGAACGGG
rnacentral:rRNA from 1 species